UUUUGAUACAGGCUCUCACUCUGUGGCCCAGGCUGGAAUGCAGUGGCACAAUCUCAACUCACUGCAAACUCCUUGCAGGCCCAGGUGAUUCUUUCAUCUCAACCUCCUGAGUAGCUGAGACUACAGUGAGGACACAAAGAGAAGAUGGCCAUUCUUAAACCAGGAAGGGGUUCCCAUCAGACAUCAAAGCUGCUGAUGCCUACAUCUUGGACUUCCCAGAUGCCAGAACUGUGAAAAAUAAAAUUCUGUUUUUUAAACCGUC